rnacentral:tRNA from 1 species
GGGCCUGUAGCGCAGUUGGGAGCGCGUCUCAAUGGCAUUGAGAAGGUCAGGGGUUCAAAUCCCCUCAGGUCCA